rnacentral:rRNA from 1 species
GACGAACGCUGGCGGCGUGCUUAACACAUGCAAGUCGAACGGAAAGGCCCUGCUUUUGUGGGGUGCUCGAGUGGCGAACGGGUGAGUAACACGUGAGUAACCUGCCCUUGACUUUGGGAUAACUUCAGGAAACUGGGGCUAAUACCGGAUAGGAGCUCCUGCUGCAUGGUGGGGGUUGGAAAGUUUCGGCGGUUGGGGAUGGACUCGCGGCUUAUCAGCUUGUUGGUGGGGUAGUGGCUUACCAAGGCUUUGACGGGUAGCCGGCCUGAGAGGGUGACCGGCCACAUUGGGAGAGAGAUACGGGCCAGACUCCUACGGGGGGGAGGAGUGGGGAAUAUUGGACAAUGGGGGGAAGCCUGAUGCAGCAAAGCCGGGUGGGGGAUGACGGCCCUCGGGUUGUAAACCGCUUUCGCCUGGGAAGAAGGGUGAGUGAAGGGAAUGGGUAAAGAAGGCCCGGCUAAAUACGUG